UACAGAGGGUGCAAGCGUUAAUCGGAAUGACUGGGCGUAAAGGGCACGUAGGCGGAUAGAUGUGUCAUAGGUGAAAUCCCCGGGCUUAACCUGGGAACUGCCUGUGAAACUGUGUAUCUAGAAUAGAGUAGAGGUAAGUGGAAUUUCCGGUGUAGCGGUGAAAUGCGUAGAUAUCGGAAAGAACACCAGUGGCGAAGGCGACUUACUGGACUCAUAUUGACGCUGAGGUGCGAAAGCGUGGGGAGCAAACGGG
rnacentral:rRNA from 1 species